rnacentral:lncRNA from 1 species
UUUUUUUAUUUAUAUAAGUACACUGUAGCUGUCUUCAAACACACCAGAAGAGGGCAUCAGAUCUCAUUACAGAUGAUUGUGAGCCACCAUGUAGUUGCUGAGAAUUGAACUGGGGACCUCUGGAAGAGCAGUCAGUGCUCUUACCCUCUGAGCCAUCUCUCCAGCCCCAAACUUUGUUUUCUUAGGAGUGACUUACUCCACUUAAUGUGUUCAAGACUCACUCAUAUUAUAGCAUGUGACAGGAAUUCUUUUUAACUUCUUCUGUUGUAUAUGUAUAUAACUAGUUAGCCUCGUUGUUGUAAACAGUGCUACUGUGAACAUGGGUCUGUAAGUGUAUCCUUUGGAGUUUGUGGUUGCUUGUUUUUGUAGUCUCUUGUUUGUUUUAAGAUGGGGGUCUCACUUUGUAGUUCAGGCUGCCUUGAAACUCAUUGUAUAGCCCAGGCCAGCUUCAAAUUUGUGGUUAUUUUCCUAACCUUAGCCUCCUGAAAGCUAAGGUUACAAAUAUAAGCCACCAUGCUUACCUCAAUUCUUUGUGAUACAUAUCUAAAAGUAGAUCAAGUGGCAGUUUUAUUUACACAUGUUUUGAAGAAUGUCCAUACCAUUUAAUCUAAUUUUUGUCAUUGAUUCUUUUAUUUUGUGAAUUAUAUAUUUUGUGUGCUAAGAGUCUUUUGUCUAACUCAAAGUCAGAAUUACUGCCUUGUCUUUUACAGUCUUAGCUAUGAGAGUUAGAUCUAUUACCUAUCCUGAAAUUACUUUGUACAUAGUAAAAGACAUUAGUCAAAGUGGGUUUUGUUGCUUUUUUCUUUAUUUCAUUAAUUUUUUAAAAUGACAUUUGGUUUUCUGUCUGAGUAUUUACGAGCCACAGCAUGAACAUGGAAGGCAGAGAACAACCUGCAGAGUCAGUUUUCUAAUCUCACCAUAGAUUUCAUCAAGGAGCUGGAUGUGAGAGCACACACUUUUAAUCCCAGCACAUGGGAGGCAGUGGCAAGUGGAUCUCAGAAAAUUGGGGCCGGCCUGGUCUACAUAACAAGCUCCAGGACAGCCAGGGCUAUGUAGAAAGACCCUGUCUCAAAAAAUAAUAAUAAUGAAAGAAUCUUCCUUUUUUCCCUCCCUCCUUUCUUUGUGUGUGUAUGUGUAUACCUGUACAGAGGCCAGAGGAAGACUGCUAAUAUGAUAUUCUUCUACACUGCCAUACUUCCUUGAGAACUGGGUCUCUUCAUCAAACCUCAAGCCCCUGGGUUAGGUUAGGCAGGCUAAAUAAUCCCUCAGGAACCUAGAUCCAUCAGUCCUACCUCUAACUCUGGAGUUAUAGGCAUGUGUGGCCAGACACACUUUGUUUUAUUUUUCAGGACAGGGUUUCUCUUUGUAGUGCUGGCUAUCCUGGAUUGCUGCUCUAUGUACGCUAAGCUGGCCUUGAACUCAGAGAUCUGCUUGCCUGUCUUCCAGAUGCUGGGAUUAAAGGUGUGAGCUACCACACAUGAUCCUAGCUUGGCUACUGGAGAUUCAAACUCAGGUUCACUUCCCUACCCUUCAUCAGGUGUUCUUUUUGUCUGUUUCUGUUUCUGUUUGGUUUUUUUUUGUUUGUUUGUUUGUUUUGAGACAGUCUUACUAGAACUAUGUAAAACAGGUUUAUAGAGAUCUGCCUGUCUAUGCCUCUGGAGUUCUGGGUUUUAAAGGCCUAUGCCACCAUGCCAUCAGGUCUCUACAGAUAACUAUGUUGUUAGCAAAUAUGCUUUUAUUUGUUUUUUAUUAGCUUUUUUACCAUAUUGCAGAUAAAUACAACAUUUAAUACAAAUAAUGAAAUCUUUGUUUUUAGUAUUAGGGAAAAACAGUGAAUCUUUUACCAUUUAUAAUAGUGUUUUCUAUAGGUUUUGCUUGAGUAUAUUUUAUUAAUUUGAAGAUGAUCCUUCAGUUAUAGUUUGGAAGUUUCAUUGGAAAUGAGAUUGUCAAACAUCUCAUUGGAAAUGGAUAUUUUAAAUAUUUUAAAUCUAUCUACUGGAAUGAUCACAUAGUAAUUAUUUCUACUAAUAUAGAGUUAUAGUUGAUUUUUCAGUGUUAACCUAUCUUUUAUUCCUGAUUUAUGCAUAUUCCCAAAUAUCUUUGUCUAAUACUGUUGGGUUAAUAAUUAUCUAUUUACGAUAGUCUGGUGUGUGUGUGUGUGUAUGUGUGUGUAAGACAGGAUUUGCUCUGUAGGCCUGGAUGUCCCAGAGCUCUCCUUUACAGAUAAUACUCUAUUGUGGUUGUUGUGUUUUGUUUUUGUUUUUUAAUAAAGAUUUAUUUUAUUUAUAUGAGUACACUGUAGCUGUCUUCAGACACACCAGAAGAGGGCAUCAGAUCUCAUUACGGAUGGUUGUGAGCCACCAUGUGGUUGCCGGGAUUUGAACUCAUGACCUCUGGAAGAGCAGUCAGUGCUCUUAACUGCUGAGCCAUCUCUCCAGGCCCCUUUGUUUCGUUUUGAGACAGGCUCUCCUAUAACCCAGCCUGGCCUUGAAUUGGUCAUGUAUUUGGAGAUGACCUGAACUGCUGAUCCUCCUCUACUCUCAUCUGUGAACAGCUGUGAUAUCUUUUUUUUUUCACUUACUAAUGUAUUUUUAAAAUUUUCUCAACAGUGUUUUUGCUUUUAUUACUAUAGGUCUUGUACAUAUUUUGUUAAGUUCAUUUAUGAGUAUUUAAUGCUUUUUUAUACUGUAUUAAAUGAUAUUUUACUUUUUAUUAUUUAAUUGGUUAUUGCUAGAAUAUAGAAAUACUGAUUUUUAUAUUUUAACUAAUGACUAUGUUAUAUAAAUUAUGCUGAAUUUUCAUGUUAGUUUUAUGAACUUUUUUAAGAGAUAUUUUAGAAUUUGUUGUGUUCUGAUAUCUGCAAAUAAAGACAGUUGAUUUCUUUCC